rnacentral:rRNA from 1 species
GACGAACGCUGGCGGCGUGCUUAACACAUGCAAGUCGAACGGAGUGGCGACCGGGUGAGUAACACUUGGGUGACCUGCCCUGCACUUCGGGAUAAGCCUGGGUAACUGGGUCUAAUACCGGAUAGUGUGGGAUGGGCCCGCGGCCUAUCAGCUUGUUGGUGGGGUAAUGGCCUACCAAGGCGGCGACGGGUUGCCGGCCUGAGAGGGUGGACAGCCACCUAGGGACUGCGACACGGCACAGACUCAUACGGGACGCAGCAGUGGGGAAUAUUGCACAAUGGAAAGAAACCUAAUGCAGCGACGGCGCGUGGGGGAUGACGGCCUACAGGUUAGAAACUCCUUUAACCAUCGACGCGGUAGAUGGAGAAGAAGCACCGGCUAACUACGUGCCAGCAAACGCGGUAAUGC